GACGAACGCUGGCGGCGUGCUUAACACAUGCAAGUCGAACGAAGUGGCGAACGGGUGAGUAACGCGUAAUCAACCUGCCCUUCAGAGGGGGACAACAGAUGGAGACGACUGCUAAUAACGCAUACGGACGGAGGGGACUGCGUCUGAUUAGCUAGUUGGAGGGGUAACGGCCCAACAAGGCGAUGAGCAGUAGCCGGUCUGAGGGGAUGAACGGCCACAUGGUGACGGAGACACGGCCCAGACUCCUACGGGAGGCAGCAGUGGGGAAUCUUCCGCCAUGGACGAAAGUCUGACGGAGCAACGCGGCGUGAGUGAUGACGGCCUUCGGGUUGUAAAGCUCUUUUAAUCGGGACGCGGUACCGGAAUAGAAAGCCACGGCUAACUACGUGCCAGCAGCCGCGGUAAUAC
rnacentral:rRNA from 1 species